GAUGAACGCUAGCGGGAGGCCUAACACAUGCAAGCCGAGCGGUAGAUUACUUUCGGGUGAUUGAGAGCGGCGUACGGGUGCGGAACACGUGUGCAACCUGCCUUUAUCAGGGGGAUAGCCUUUCGAAAGGAAGAUUAAUACCCCAUAAUAUAUUAUUCGGCAUCGGGUGAUAUUGAAAACUACGGUGGAUAGAGAUGGGCACGCGCAAGAUUAGCUAGUUGGUGAGGUAACGGCUCACCAAGGCGACGAUCUUUAGGGGGCCUGAGAGGGUGAUCCCCCACACUGGUACUGAGACACGGACCAGACUCCUACGGGAGGCAGCAGUGAGGAAGAUUGGACAAUGGGUGGAAGCCUGAUCCAGCCAUCCCGCGUGCAGGAAGACGGCCCUAUGGGUUGUAAACUGCUUUUAUCUGGGGAUAAACCUACUUACGUGUAAGUAGCUGAAGGUACCAGAAGAAUAAGCACCGGCUAACUCCGUG
rnacentral:rRNA from 1 species